GUCCACGCUGUAAACGAUGUCUGCUAGCCGUUGGGAUCCUUGAGGUCUCGGUGGCGCAGCUAACGCGAUAAGCAGACCGCCUGGGGAGUACGGCCGCAAGGUUAAAACUCAAAUGAAUUGACGGGGGCCCGCACAAGCGGUGGAGCAUGUGGUUUAAUUCGAUGCAACGCGAAGAACCUUACCAGGUCUUGACAUCCAGCGAACUGCCCAGAGAUGGGCGGGUGCCUUCGGGAGCGCUGAGACAGGUGCUGCAUGGCUGUCGU
rnacentral:rRNA from 1 species